GUUCAUCUUGCAACGAUUUCAGAGGCAGAGCUCCUGAGGCAUUGAUCUGGAAGAAAUUUACAUCUGGAAAUGGAGAGCUUGGAGGAUUGAAACUCUGCUUACACACAGCAGUGGAGUACCCCUUAUGCGGACUGCUUGGGACCAGCAGUGUUCUGGAUUUCAGACUUUUCCGGAUUUCAGACUUUUCCGGAUUUCAGACUUUUCCGGAUUUCGGAGUCUACAGCACUUUGGAGUCUACAGCACUUUGGAGUCUACAGCACUUUGGAGUCUACAGCACUUUGGAGUCUACAGCACUUUGGAGUCUACAGCACUUUGGAGUCUACAGCACUUUGGAGUCUACAGCACUUUGGAGUCUACAGCACUGGGUACUGGUGGAAUUCUCGUGAGAGCACAAGAAUGUUCCAGCGACAAGCAAUAAUGGCAGCAAGGAGGAGGUGGACGGCUGAAGAGAAGACAGACUGCGGCAGUUCUUCAGGAAAAUCUUAAAGAUAUAGUCAAAUCAGAGAAGACACAGAGGGGAACAUAUAAAGGUCAUUCACACAGCUGUGCAAAGCUUGGUAGGAGUCAGAGAGGCUCACGUGGACUCUGGAGGACUCGCUCCUACCCAGCAAUGCCAGAGCAGGACCACCCCAUCCUUUGACCUUGGUUUUAACCAAGAUGAAAGGUGAACAGGCCCUUCCUACCUCGACAUCCCGGACGGAUUGGGUGCAUGAUCUGGGCUCUUUGCAGCAGUUUGUAGCUGGCUCUCGACCACAGAGCGUUGCUUAUAGAGCAGCCAGGAAGCAGGGAGCUGCUGCAUUGACACGGACAGCCUCUCCAUUGCCCACACAACAUGGGAUGCCAGAGGACUUCCUCCUCCAGAUUCCUUCUGCAGAGAUCUCUGCCGCGCCAAUUGUGUGUGUGCAGCAUAGCACUGGAGAGACUUUACUUGUAUGGUGAAAGGUCACCUUAAGUGGGGCAGUGGGGAAAUGCUUGACUAACAAGCAGAAGGUUGCCAGUUCAUACCCCCACUGGUAUGUUUCCCAGACGAUGGGAAACACCCAUAUCAGGCAGCAGCAAUAUCGGAAGAUGCUGAAAGCCAUCAUCUCAUACUGCGCACGAGGAGACAAUUGUAAACCCCUCCUGUAUUCUACCAAAAGACAAAUACAGGGCUCUGUGGUCACCAGGAGCUUCUGCACCCCAAGCUUCUAUCCUCAAGCAAGUCCGACUCUGCUCAGACCUUCUAAUUCCCAUGCCCUUAUACCAGUGGCUCCCAACCAGAGUUCCUCUGGAUGUUGCUGAACCGAUUGAAUGAUUAAGUGUUGUCAAGUCAGUGUCGACUCUUAGAGACCACAUAGAUUCUCUCCAGGAUGAUCUGUCUUCAACUUGACCUUUAAGGUCUCUCAGUGGUGCAUUCAUUGCUGUCAUAAUCAAGUCCAUCCACCUUGCUGCUGGCCGUCCUGUUCUUCUCUUUCCUUCCACUUUUUCCAGCAUUAUAGACUUCUCAAGGGAGCUGGGUCUUCACAUAUUGAGUC